UUCUGUCAGGUUCUUCCAGGUUACACAGUACACGGAAUGUGUGGCCUGAAGCAUUUUAAAAGGAAGCUGGUGCUCGUAGGGAGAAGCCUUUUAGAUUUCUCUAAAAUCAAACUUUGAUGAAAAAAAAGUAUUCAAAUCAUAUAUAUUUACAUACAUGAAUAUAUUACAAUAUAUGAAUGUAUACAUGUUGUACAAUAUAAAACAAAAUGAAUAUACAUGAUAUCUAAAUUUAAUUGGGAACAAUUAUCCCUAAGGAGUUUGAUAUUAAACACUUCUUCCCUCAGAUUUUACUUUAAACCAGUUGUGGGAAACUUUUCUGGUGAAGGACCACACAGUAAACACUUUAGGGUCUUGUGGUAAAUCUCCAAUCCAAAUAUGCCCCAACAAUGAAAACACGACUCAAUUAAUAUGGAUUCAUGCUGUGUGCCUAGAUUGGGCAGAUCUACCACUCUACUACCAUCUUCCACACCUUAUGAGACCCUUUAUAACUUGCGGUUUCUCCAGGCCAUGUGCUUCUGCUCUGCUUUUCUUCUUCCUCCUCUGCAUCCUCUCUCCCAUUUUCUCCUUCUCUCUCCCAACCUUCUGCUUCACCUUCCUUUUUAUCUGCCCAAUCAUCAGCUCUCCUUUAUUUUACAAAUUAAAGUGGGAAGCAAGUUUACCGGAAAUCUGACUCAUUCCUUCUUCACAACCACUCACUGGCAAAUGGGAUUAACAUCAAAAUAUAAUUAUCCCCGGGGCUAUCCCCAAAAGGGUCUGAUCUUUUUCUCAGCUCUCCAGAUUUGAACUUUGGAGUCUCUUGAAAAAGCCACACCUAUGCUGAAGUUUCUAAAGACUGAUUCAAAACUGUGAUUGUGGAGAGUUUGAAUGUUACAAAUCUUGAGACAAAGUUACCUGGCUUGCCUUUAAGCCCUUUUAGUAGCUUUCACAUCUGAUUCCCAUAUAACAUCCCUUUAACUAGCAGAUAAAAUCCUCAGAAUACAUUAACUAGACUAUUAGCUAGACUAUCUGUUUCUGAAAACUCAGACUCUAAGAACAUCACCAGAUAGCAUCUAAAACCUGUAACAGAGACCCCAUUCCACUGCCUAUCUGAUGUCCCUAUCAGUGUUUUUAGUAAAUGCAUUUAAUUUUUUUUUUUUUUUGGAAGCUCUGGCUUCUGCUAGGGUCCCUGGUUCCUGUAUAGAAAAUAAAGGAGUUUUUUAAUAGUCAUGUAGUACUCCACUGUGUAAAUAUACCACAUUUUCUGUAUCCAUUCCUCUGUUGAGGGACAUCUGGCAUCUUUCCAGCUUCUGGCUUUUAUAAAUAAGGCUGCUAUGAACAUAGUGGAGCAUGUGUCCUUGUUACAUGUUGGAGCAUCUUCUGGGUAUAUGCCCAGGAGUGGUAUUUCUGGGUCCUCAGGUAGUACUAUGUCCAGUUUUCUGAGGAACCACCAGACUGAUUUCCAGAGUGGUUGUACCAGCUUGCAAUCCCACCAGCAACGGAGGAGUGUUCCUCUUUCUCCACAUCCUUGCCAGCAUCUUCUGUCACCCGAAAUUUCUGCUUCAAACUUUGUCUCUGUAUCUUUUCCCAUGGGUAUUUUGAUCCCCCUUCUAAGAAGGACCAAAGUAUCCACACUGAUCUUCCUUCUUGAGUUUCAUGUUGUCUGUGAAUUGUAUCUUGGGUAUUCUGAACUUCUGGGCUAAUAUCCAUUUAUCAGUGAGUGGAUACCAUGUGUGUUCUUUUGUGAUGCGUUACCUCACUCAGGAUGAUGUUUUCUACUUUCAUUCAUUUGCCAAAGAACUUCAUUCUUAACUCCUUACAACAGACAAAUUCCAGAAGGGUAGAAAGAAUGAUUUCAAUGAACUCUAAAGGGAGAGACAGCUCUUGUCUUAGGUAACUACAGAAAUGUCAGCAAGCUGCCCUGGAGGUCCUAGGGAACAUCUCUCCCCUUCAAAGAGAGUGGACUCUACCUCCUUUUUGCCAGAAAAUAAGUCUCUUGAGGACUUAAAUCGGCAUCUAAAAAGAUGGAAGAUUGGUCCUUUUUAGGCCCAUUAGGGUCUGAAGACUAGAACCUAGCUAUUGCCUAGACCUAGAUGGAGAUAUAAUAUUCUCAGUUACAUAACUGGGUGAGUGGAAUUUAUAUUCUAAUUAAUAAUAUGUUUUUCUUUUGCAGAACCUUCCCCUUGUAGUAUGGACACUUAGAGAAAAUCAUUGGCCAGCCUAUUUUCUGAGUCCUAACCCAGAAAAAGCAUACAGCUCUGUUCUUUCUACCCUUUUGUCUUUUCCUUUUGUAGUAGAUGUUUUAUUAUGUUCUGGGCUUUCUCACUUUGCUUGUGUGAAGUCAGUUCUCCACGCUUUCUGAACUCCAUUGCUGUACAUGCAAGAUCCUAACAACAUAUUGUUACUUUCUUUUUUUCUCUGUUCAUCAUCCAUCAACAUAGACAUAACAGUUUAAAGGUUAGCUGCCUUGCUGUUUUUCUCUUAAACUUUAGUAAAAUUGUUCUCAAUCUCCCUUUUAUUUCUAUUUUAAAAUUCUCUUGUGUUUAAACUAGAAACAGCAGAAGGGGUUCUAUAUUUUGUAAGUAGAAUAUGACACCCAAUGUGGGGCUGCUCAAAUUCCUCUGGUAACAGUCUGUCUUUACUGCCAACUAUAAAGCCUUCUGCUAAAUUACCUUUUGGGCAAUGUAGGGUAUCAUGUCCCCACCCAGAGCAAGAAAUACCAUUAAAAUUUAAUUCUUUUAACUAGUACUCAAAUUCCUGCAAUGAUUACUCCCUGGUUUUACAAGCUAAUAGUUACAGAAAAGGGGAGUUCUCCCUGAUGGUCCUUUAAGUCUGCUCAUUCCUGACUAGGUUCAGAACACAUUGCUUAUGAUUGUCUUUUAUUCUGGUACUCUGGAAGUUUAUUUAACUGAUUUCAAACUGGAACCCAUCUUUCAGAGCAACCUAAAUCCAUGUUUCCAACCACAAUCUCUAACGUUUGACUCAAAAUAAAUGUUAUUGCCUUUGGUGAUAGAGCUGUAUUCACUCCACAAGAGUUGGACUUGAUCUUGUGAAAAUAAAAAAAUAAAAAUGCUGAAAUAAAAUAAACAAAACCUGCACUUGCAUGAACUUUCUACAAGGCUGAACUCAAAUUGAUAAGAACUUCCAAUUAGGUCCAGAGCCUAAUUAUACUUUAUCUUGGGCUAUCUUUACCCACCUAACUAGCCAUUCCUUGUCUACCUCUGCAUCUGACCUUUGCAACUAGCAGAUAAAAAUCUUUGGGAUUUAUUAAC
rnacentral:lncRNA from 1 species